AGCUCCAGUAGCGUAUAUUAAAGUUGUUGCAGUUAAAAAGCUCGUAGUUGGAUUUCUGGUAUUCCGCGUCUAGGCCGGGGCCAGCUAUGGUCUCAGCGCCCAGUUUGCGGUUGCCAUCCUUCCAGGAUUUUGUGUCUGCUUUUCAUUAAGUAGGGCACGAAUUUUGGAUCUUUUACUUUGAAAAAAUUAGAGUGUUUAAAGCAGGCUUUGCCGUGAAUACAUUAGCAUGGAAUAAUAAUUUAGGACUCUGUUUCCUAGUUUGUUGGUUCUCGGAUUUAGAGUAAUGAUUGAUAGGGAUAGUUGGGGGUGCUAGUAUUGAUUGGCCAGAGGUGAAAUUCUUGGAUUCAAUCAAGACUAACUUAUGCGAAAGCAUUCACCAAGGAUGUCUUCUUUA
rnacentral:rRNA from 1 species